GUCCAGACUCCUACGGGAGGCAGCAGUGGGGAAUAUUGCACAAUGGGGGAAACCCUGAUGCAGCGACGCCGCGUGAGUGAAGAAGUAUUUCGGUAUGUAAAGCUCUAUCAGCAGGGAAGAAAAUGACGGUACCUGAUUAAGAAGCCCCGGCUAACUACGUGCCAGCAGCCGCGGUAAUACGUAGGGGGCAAGCGUUAUCCGGAUUUACUGGGUGUAAAGGGAGCGUAGACGGCAGCGCAAGUCUGAAGUGAAAUGCCGGGGCUUAACCCCGGAACUGCUUUGGAAACUGUGCGGCUGGAGUGCAGGAGGGGUAAGCGGAAUUCCUAGUGUAGCGGUGAAAUGCGUAGAUGUUAGGAGGAACACCGGUGGCGAAGGCGGCUUACUGGACUGUAACUGACGUUGAGGCUCGAAAGCGUGGGGAGC
rnacentral:rRNA from 1 species